ensembl:lncRNA
AAAAAAAAAAAAAAAAAAAAAAGGAAGGGAGGAAGAGACUUUCAGGGCUUUCUGUAUAUUUUGUCUGGAUUGUGGAUUCGGAAGUGGGACUUUUUGUCAAACAUCUGCUUUGAACUGAAGUGAGUGAAAGAUGGCAGAAUGCAUAACUAAAGACAAAACUACAAUGCAACAGAUUUAUUCUUAUACCACUCAAGAGGAACAACUGUGAAAAAGUUGGGGUCCUAACCUCAAGUAACAGUUCAUGUUUAAUGAAAAGAGUCUGUUCAUCUGGAAGAGAGAAAAGGAUGAAAGAAAGAAAAAUCACUGAGAAGUGACUGUCAUAUGAAACAUGCCUUACCUUACUUCCUUGUCCUGCUAUAAUCCAUAAAGAAAAGAGUAAUUUGGAUUUUAUUUAGUAAGGUGCAGCAAAUAUUCCUUGGGAUCUGCUAUUGUGCAAAAUGAGAUUCCUGCUGAAUACAAGUAAAGAACUACAUAUGAUGAAAAUGAUUGUGGAGAACGUUGCAUGAGCUCAGCAGCUUUUAUGACCUUAAGGAAAGAUCUCAACCUGAUCCAUAGCUGAAAAAUAAUUUUCCUCAUCGUUUUUUUCCAGCUCCAACUAACUCCAUUGCUUGAGUAGAAUGGCCACCACUGAUGUGGAUCAGGAAGGACAAGUUCUAUGGCUUCAAGCCUGUCUGAUGGAAACCUUAAAGGCACAAGAACAGGCUGUUCCUGAAUGCUGUAAGGCGAGCCGAAGGGGAAGAAGACCGGUGUGGAUGAAGCAGGAACUACUGUUGAUACUCUGGGAAGAAAAGGAGUCUAUUUCCUCCAGAAGAAGGGAUAGGCUACUUGGGGAGAUUACAAAGAAGUUGCUAAGAAACAGCUCAUAGCACACAAAGGAGGAGUUACCGGUCAGUUUUUGUGCUGGAAGAUCACCGUGGGGGUCCACAGGGAUGUAUUCAUCAGUGAAGUGAGAAAGAGAACGAAUGGUGAAGUGACACAGUUUGCUAAGUUAUUCACCAUAACAAAGACAUAGUGAAAGCAAGUGGCACUGGACUGAACAACAGAGAAGUCUUAUAAAUCUGUAAGUCACAAGUAAAUUGCUUAGCACCACUUUGGGCCUAAACUCUUGCAUCUUGGUAAGUCAAUUAUAUAUAUUUAUUAGAUUUACUACCCCUACUGUUAAGCAAUUAACAAACAAAUUAUACCACUCUGUCUCAUCCAUUUAUUUCCCAGUUGAUUUGUUUCUUUCUCACUUUUUCAGACUGCUCUGCUCUUUUUAAUCCAGGAUAAGUUGAAGAAGAAACAAGACUAAGUUACAAACAAGCUUUUUAAGACAGGAUGAGCUUGCAUUCAUUGUAUGAGUUCGUGAGCUUGCAUAAGUGACACUGUGCUGUAGAAUGAUUCCAGACUUAUGAGGGAGCCAUUGAUUAUACAGCUCUUUUGGUUUUCUGAGUACUUUAAUGAUGCUUUGCUUUUUGAAGAAGCUGCAACUUAAAAUAAAGCCCGUUUUCGAUUUAUGCAGUUGUUACAUUUCCACCAUGGGAAUACAGAGCACCACAAAGAUUCUAAAGUUAUCCGAUCCAUCAUCCUUCUCAAAUGAGUUAACCUUGAAAUCUGAUGCCACUUCAGCAGCAAGUAAGAUUGCUCAGGGCCAAAUCCAGUUGAAAUUCCAGUCUCCCAAGGCCACGCCUUUCUUCCUCCACCACCAACCAGACAGUGCAGAGCUAUUCCUACUGCCUGUUUACAAAGACACCUACAGAUGACUGCAUUUAAUUUGGCAUAGAGCUCUUACAAGAAGAGCAUGGAACCCAGAUCCUUUCAGUCCUGCCUCCUCCCUUCUAGCCUGGAACUGAGCAUGCCACUGGGAAGCAGCCUCCGCUACCCAGGAGCCUCUUCCAGCACCCAGGUAUCCAUUCACCCAUCCUGAGGGAGUGUUCCACAGCUGGAGAGCUCUCCAACUCAGUCCCCCCCUUCCCAUCCCACAAGAUUCCUCCAAACCUGGAGGGCUCCCCAUCUCAGUCCCCUCCUCUCCCCAGGGAGUUCUCCACAGCUGCUCCCCUUCCACCCUCCCCCUCCCACAAACACCCCAAAGCUGGGGGGCUCCUUCAGCCCCUCUGUCCCCAGGGAGGGAAGCCCCCUGGCUGGGUGUCCCUCUGCCCACCCCCCCAGGGUGCUCCCAGCCAGUCAUGGCUGCCCCAGACCAAGAUGCCAAAGCCCACUCCCCCACCCAAAACAAGCAAACAAAAAAAACCCCAAGACUACACAACCCCCAGCUUCCCCUAAAAUUACCACCAACCAGAUCCAGCAAACACAAAACCAGAACAAAGGCCACCCACAUACUGCUAUUAUCCCCAAACUAUCAAUACACCAAUACUUAUAACAUUCAUAACUUUCAUUAAACCAAACUCAGUCUUACAAUUACUGGAUUUUUCAAGACAAAAAGACACCUAUCUAUCCCUGUAUGGGAACUGUUGAAUCAUGGCCUGAACCUCUGAUUGACUAUCAGAGGCAAGCACUGAGUCAGCCACAGGGGCACAGGUGAAUGCAAUUUCACCUGAGUGACCGAAAG